rnacentral:rRNA from 1 species
UAACACGUGGGUAACCUGCCCAUAAGACUGGGAUAACUCCGGGAAACCGGGGCUAAUACCGGAUAAYAUUUUGAACYGCAUGGUUCGAAAUUGAAAGGCGGCUUCGGCUGUCACUUAUGGAUGGACCCGCGUCGCAUUAGCUAGUUGGUGAGGUAACGGCUCACCAAGGCAACGAUGCGUAGCCGACCUGAGAGGGUGAUCGGCCACACUGGGACUGAGACACGGCCCAGACUCCUACGGGAGGCAGCAGUAGGGAAUCUUCCGCAAUGGACGAAAGUCUGACGGAGCAACGCCGCGUGAGUGAUGAAGGCUUUCGGGUCGUAAAACUCUGUUGUUAGGGAAGAACAAGUGCU